AUCGAACGCUGGCGGCAGGCCUAACACAUGCAAGUCGAACGAGUGGCGGACGGGUGAGCAAUGUCUGGGAAACUGCCUGAUGGAGGGGGAUAACGACUGGAAACGUUAGCUACCACCGCUCACAACCGGUUGUGCCCAGAUGGGGUUAGCUAGUCGGUGGGGGAAAGGUUCACUUAGGCGACGAUGCCUAGCUGGUCUGAGAGGGUGACCAGCCACACUGGAACUGAGAAACGGUCCAGACUCCUACGGGAGGCAGCAGUGGGGAAUAUUGCGCAAUGGGCGCAAGCCUGAUGCAGCCAUGCCGCGUGUAUGAAGAAGGCCUUCGGGUUGUAAAGUACUUUCAGCGGGGAGGCGUUACCCACAGAAGAAGCACCGGCUAACUACGUGCCAGCAGCCGCGGUAAUUC
rnacentral:rRNA from 1 species